CUUUUCCUCCAUUAAUUCUCACAUUUUCUUCCAUCUGAUCAUCCAUCAGAGUGUAUGUAAGGUUGUUGGUGGCAAGGAUCCUCCUUUCAACCGAUCGUUUAGUGGUUUGAAGUGUGAAUCUUAGCGUUUGAGUGUUGGUCGUGGUGCAAAGUUUGUAUUGUGAGCGAUCGGUUUGUUAAGAGAAGCACAAGGGCAGGAUGAAUGAAUUGCUACAACAACCGCCACAUCAAACAAUUCUGGACCAACUUGGUGUGUUGGCAGUGAAGAUCUCCCUUUCUCCUAUAGAGUUACAAAUGCCUCUUGAAGUCACAAAUAGAACAUCUUCGCUCUCUUUCUUCAUAUGUCAGAGGCAUAUUUUUGAAAUUCUU